GAAUUAAAUGGCUGGUGCUUCCCAACUUUUUUUCUUUUCUUUUCUUUUCUUUUCUUUUUCCUUCCCCAGAAAAUUGGGAAUGUUUUUGUAGGAAAUUGGUUGAAACAAGGGAGGAUUGGGAAAGUUUUCCAAUAUGCGAAAUUAUGGUUGAUAUCUAACUCGUUUAUGGGGCUGGGAUUUUAGACCCAAAAUCCUAAGCGUGAAAGUAAAACCUGUCAGGACAGAGACAACAUUGGUACUUUCCUGGGGUCCACAAAGUGGCACCCUUCUUAUGGAUGGCUUGGAUAUUGGAUAUUGCACCUAUUUGCCAGUGUUGGCAUAUGCGUGGCAUGAACAUUAGCUAACUUGGAGGGGCCAAAGAGCAAAGCCAUUGAUUAUAGAUCCUGGGCUUUACUAGACGGCAAAGAAUGAUAUUUUCUGGGCUACACAUGAGAGAAGUGCCAACUGCAUUUAAGUUAUUUUACUGGAGACGCAGAGCAUGCACAUGCUGGUUUUCAUGUGGAAUAGGAGGAACCAGAUGAUCUUGCGACUCUCUAUUUCUGAUUUCACUUGUAUUUAAUUUGUACUGUUAUGUAUUGUAAAAACUUCGGACAUUAAUUUGUAUAAGUUUUCGGGCAACCAAGUGAAUAUUCGGUUAUGUAUA